UUGGGAAUCUUGCACAAUGGGGGAAACCCUGAUGCAGCGACGCCGCGUGGAGGACGAAGGGUCUAGGCCUGUAAACUCCUUUUACCAGGAAAGACUUAGGACGGUACCUGGUGAAUAAGCCCCGGCUAACUACGUGCCAGCAGCCGCGGUAAGACGUAGGGGGCAAGCGUUGUCCGGAUUUACUGGGCGUAAAGGGCGCGUAGGCGGCCUGUUAAGUGUGAAGUGAAAUCUCCAGAGCUCAACUCGGAAACUGCUUUACAUACUGGCAGGCUUGAGGAAUGCAGAGGUGAAUAGAAUUCCUGGUGUAGCGGUGAAAUGCGUAGAUAUCAGGAGGAAUACCCAUGGCGAAGGCAGUUCACUGGGCAUUAUCUGACGCUGAGGCGCGAAAGCGUGGGGAGCA
rnacentral:rRNA from 1 species